CCUAAGGCAGCCCUCUACCCCUCCUGGCCCUGGGCUGGGACCUGGUGUUGUGAGGGGACCUCCCGGCUCCGGUGCUGCUGAAGCUGGAGCCGGCUGAGGCCAGGUGGCACGCAGGAUACUCCUGCCAGGAGCGCUUCCAUGCACCAGGAGACAAAGUUCUGGCAUCUGUGAGGCGCACAUUCGAGGGAAGAGACAAAGAACAAAGAAAAACCCAAUACUGCAAUCCAGGGAGCCGGAUGAGCUCCACAGGAAAAACAAGCCUGGUGGACCAGGGAACUCGAGGACUGGGUGCUGGAAAAGGAGGGCGCAGCCUUCCCGAUGUCGGCCACCAGCCUGAAACUGCCCAGUCCGCCUGACCAUCCUGUCACCAUGUCCAUUUUACAGAUGAAGAAACAGAGGCCUGGGGGAUGAAGCAGUCUGCCCCAGCCCGAGCUGCUGGGACGCAGACCCAGGCCGUCCCCGGAGCGCACCUUCCCCCUUGUUCUUCGGGCACUGGUUCCUCAGCCUCGCCCUGAGCCCUAGGGAAGCACCGCCCGCAGCCAGACCCAGGCCCAGCAGGCAGGGAGCUGGCUUCCUGGGAGGAGGCAGAGAGCAGAGCAGAGCUUGAUGACAGGAGGCUCGCAGAUGCGGCCAGGGCGAAGGACAGAGGGGCGGGUGCUUGGGCGGGUGCAGAGGGGCCGGGCCGCGGACUGGGCUCGCAGCCCUGAGGCUCCGAGAAGGACAAGGGGCAGUGACCCCAGCCUGACCCAUGCCAAUGCCGACGACCACCCCAGUGCAAACCAGGAGAACGGCGGCCAGGACGAGGCCCACUGCCCAGGACAACCCAGGCCCCGCGGGUGACCAGCCCUGCCUCUGCCGGAAGUGCCAGGACUUGAGCCCAGCUGGCUAGCGGACACCAGCAGAGAAGCGGCCACCCCCCAUUCCCGAAGGGCCUGGUGAGCCGGUGUUGGAGCCGGAGUCACCAGCUCAUCCGCUCACUCAUCCACUCAGCUCUGUGGACCGGCCACCUCGAGGGACCACGGCAGGGAAUGGGACCUGGUCGCUCCUCCAGGGGCAGCCCUGUGGAGCAGGGAGACUGGGAGGACUGGACACAUGAGGAGUCGGGAGAGGCCCUGGGGCCAAGGGGAGGGAGACCACCAGCCAGCACAAGGCAGGCUCUGCUGCAGGGAGGGGGGAGGGGACGCGCCACCCUUGCUCAGGAGGCCCUGCCCCUUUGGAGGCCCCUUUGGUCUCAGGGUCCCUGCAGCCCACCCUGUCCCAGUGGUGCCCAGGCAGGGCCAGAGCCUGGGCACCUGCCUCUCGCUGCCCACCCCUGGCUCCUCAGGGCCCUGCCCCUCCCUCCUGGGUUGCCGACCACCCGACAGCACAGCCAGGUGGGAGAGGCCAGCCUCCCAACAUCCAGUGUGGGGCUCACCCUCCUCGGGCUGCCCUGCCCUGUCCUCUGCCUGGGCACGUGAAGGUGGGGACAGGGCCAGAGCACAGCACAGCACACCCCUGGGUGCUUUUGACCAGCCUGCCCCUGAGGGUUUGCCACUGUGGUCCCCAUUUUGUGGAGGAAGAGUGGCCUGACGGGUCCGGCUGCUUGCUCAGGUGGCGGAGCAGGGGCUCCAGCUCCGGCAGAGGACACACAGCUGGCCUGCAGAGAGCCCUGGGGUGUGUGGGUACAGCCACUCCCGCAGGCCCGUCUGUGCAGGCCUUGGCAGGUCCCUAGCACAGCCCUGAGCGGCAGCUGCCCCAUCCCAUGUUACGGGCGAAGAAAGCAAGGCUGGGGGGAGUCGCCCCAGACGCUGCAUGGCUUGUGAAAAGGGCCGAGAUUCGAACCCAGGGCCGCUGGGUUCCAGGGCCGAGCACUGCCCCCACCCCAGCGCCACACUGAGGAGCCUCCCAUGCGCAGGCGCCCAGGGCCAGAGGCCUCCCAGCCUCCCCUGAGGGCAGCACCGCCGGCCCCACGACUGAUGCCCACGGCUGCUCUGUCCUCACCCCGGGCUGGUUACCACCACGCAGCCCCUUCUGGAACCACCCUUCUGCCUGCUGGACUGUGAGUCCCUGCAGGGUGCCCACCACUGGGAGGCCUGGGGUUCCUGCCUCCUAGAGGCCUCGACCCUCGGGAGUGUCUCUCACUUGGACCACAGCAGAGUCCUCCUAGCCUGGGACUCUACCCCACCACCCCGUCCAGGAGGUGCCUCCAGUGUGGGGACACAGCAAGACAGGGGGCCCUCCCACAACCUCCCCUGGGGCCAGCCUCAGUCCCUGCACUGCUGGAGUGACAGUGUACAGGGGCUUGGUGUGCAAAUGUGUGUCUCUGUGUAACACCUGGGUGUCUUUGCAUGUGUGUGUUUGAGUGUGAGAGUGUGCCUGAGUGUGCAUGUG